rnacentral:rRNA from 1 species
AGUUAGAUAGGGAAAGUUUUUCGGUGUAGGAUGAGGCUAUAUUGUAUCAGCUAGUUGGUGAGGUAAUGGCUCACCAAGGCUAUGACGCAUAACUGGUCUGAGAGGAUGAUCAGUCACACUGGAACUGAGACACGGUCCAGACUCCUACGGGAGGCAGCAGUAGGGAAUAUUGCUCAAUGGGGGAAACCCUGAAGCAGCAACGCCGCGUGGAGGAUGACACUUUUCGGAGCGUAAACUCCUUUUGUUAGGGAAGAACAAUGACGGUACCUAACGAAUAAGCACCGGCUAACUCCGUGCCAGCAGCCGCGGUAAUACGGAGGGUGCAAGCGUUACUCGGAAUCACUGGGCGUAAAGGACGCGUAGGCGGAUUAUCAAGUCUCUUGUGAAAUCCUAUGGCUUAACCAUAGAACUGCUUGGGAAACUGAUAAUCUAGAGUGAGGGAGAGGCAGAUGGAAUUGGUGGUGUAGGGGUAAAAUCCGUAGAGAUCACCAGGAAUACCCAUUGCGAAGGCGAUCUGCUGGAACUCAACUGACGCUAAUGCGUGAAAGCGUGGGGAGCAAACAGGAUUAGAUACCCUGGUAGUCCACGCCCUAAACGAUGUAUACUAGUUGUUGCUAAGCUAGUCUUGGCAGUAAUGCACCUAACGGAUUAAGUAUACCGCCUGGGGAGUACGGUCGCAAGAUUAAAACUCAAAGGAAUAGACGGGGACCCGCACAAGCGGUGGAGCAUGUGGUUUAAUUCGAAGAUACGCGAAGAACCUUACCCGGACUUGAUAUCUAACAAAUCAUCUAGAGAUAGAAGAGUGUCUGCUCGCAGAAAUGUUAAGACAGGUGCUGCACGGCUGUCGUCAGCUCGUGUCGUGAGAUGUUGGGUUAAGUCCCGCAACGAGCGCAACCCACGUCAUUAGUUGCUAACAGUUCGGCUGAGCACUCUAAUGAGACUGCCUUCGUAAGGAGGAGGAAGGUGUGGACGACGUCAAGUCAUCAUGGCCCUUAUGUCCGGGGCGACA